UACGGCCGUAUCACGUUGAAACACCGGUUCCUGUACAAUCACCGAAGUUAAGCAACGUCGAGCCUGGUAACUACCUAGAUGGGUGACCGCUUCGGAGUACCAGGUGCUGUAA
rnacentral:rRNA from 1 species